rnacentral:lncRNA from 1 species
AUGGUGAGCCGCCGCGCCGGCACCGGCACCGGCACGCCCGCUGCGCCGCCGACGGAGAGCGAGGCGCGGUCGCAGCGCGGGAAGGAGGAGGUGGUGGUGGUGGGCGCCAGGGAGAGGCCCUUGAAGGCCCCCGCCAGGGCGAACGCCAUGGAGGCCAUGGGCCGCUGGAGCGGAGGGAGGCAACGUGGCAGCUUGGGAAGAAGACGGGGGAAGAGAGCAGAUGAGG